rnacentral:rRNA from 1 species
UGCCAGCAGCCGCGGUAAUACGGAGGGUGCAAGCGUUGUUCGGAUUUAUUGGGCGUAAAGCGCGCGCAGGCGGAUCUUUAAGUCAGGUGUGAAAUCUCGGGGCUCAACCCCGAAACUGCGCCUGAAACUAUUGAUCUAGAAUCUUGGAGAGGGAAGGGGAAUUUCACGUGUAGGGGUAAAAUCCGUAGAGAUGUGAAGGAACACCAGAAGCGAAGGCGCCUUCCUGGACAAGUAUUGACGCUGAGGCGCGAAAGCGUGGGGAGCAAACAGGAUUAGAUA